rnacentral:rRNA from 1 species
GUAGGGUCCAAGCGUUAAUCGGAAUUACUGGGCGUAAAGCGUGCGCAGGCGGUUGUGCAAGACCGAUGUGAAAUCCCCGGGCUUAACCUGGGAAUUGCAUUGGUGACUGCACGGCUAGAGUGUGUCAGAGGGGGGUAGAAUUCCACGUGUAGCAGUGAAAUGCGUAGAGAUGUGGAGGAAUACCGAUGGCGAAGGCAGCCCCCUGGGAUAACACUGACGCUCAUGCACGAAAGCGUGGGGGGAGCAAACAGGAUUAGAUACCCUGGUAGUCCACGCCCCUAAACCGAUGUCAACUAGUUGUUGGGGAUUCAUUUCCUUAGUAACGUAGCUAACGCGUGAAGUUGACCGCCUGGGAGUACGGUGCAAGAUUA